GACGAACGCUGGCGGCGUGCUUAACACAUGCAAGUCGAACGGAAAGGCCCUGCUUUUGUGGGGUGCUCGAGUGGCGAACGGGUGAGUAACACGUGAGUAACCUGCCCUUGACUUUGGGAUAACUUCAGGAAACUGGGGCUAAUACCGGAUAGGAGCUCCUGCUGCAUGGUGGGGGUUGGAAAGUUUCGGCGGUUGGGGAUGGACUCGCGGCUUAUCAGCUUGUUGGUGGGGUAGUGGCUUACCAAGGCUUUGACGGGUAGCCGGCCUGAGAGGGUGACCGGCCACAUUGGGACUGAGAUACGGCCCAGACGCCUACGGGAGGCAGCAGUGGGGAAUAUUGCACAAUGGGCGGAAGCCUGAUGCAGCAACGCCGCGUGCGGGAUGACGGCCUUCGGGUGGUAAACCGCUUUCGCCUGUGACGAAGCGUGAGUGACGGUAAUGGGUAAAGAAGCACCGGCUAACACGUG
rnacentral:rRNA from 1 species